rnacentral:rRNA from 1 species
UACAGAGGUCUCAAGCGUUGUUCGGAUUCAUUGGGCGUAAAGGGUGCGUAGGUGGCGGGGUAAGUCAGGUGUGAAAUUUCGGAGCUUAACUCCGAAACUGCAUUUGAUACUGCCUUGCUUGAGGACUGGAGAGGAGACUGGAAUUCACGGUGUAGCAGUGAAAUGCGUAGAGAUCGUGAGGAAGACCAGUGGCGAAGGCGGGUCUCUGGACAGUUCCUGACACUGAGGCACGAAGACCAGGGGAGCAAACGGG